rnacentral:tRNA from 1 species
GCCCCCUUAGCUCAGUGGAUAGAGCACCUGCCUUCUAAGCAGAUGGUCGAGGGUUCGAAUCCUUCAGGGGGCG